rnacentral:rRNA from 1 species
CCUACGGGAGGCAGCAGUGAGGAAUAUUGGUCAAUGGACGAGAGUCUGAACCAGCCAAGUAGCGUGAAGGAUGACUGCCCUAUGGGUUGUAAACUUCUUUUAUAUGGGAAUAAAAUGUUCCACGUGUGGGAUUUUGUAUGUACCAUAUGAAUAAGGCUCGGCUAACUCCGUGCCAGCAGCCGCGGUAAUACGGAGGAUCCGAGCGUUAUCCGGAUUUAUUGGGUUUAAAGGGAGCGUAGGUGGAUUGUUAAGUCAGUUGUGAAAGUUUGCGGCUCAACCGUAAAAUUGCAGUUGAAACUGGCAGUCUAGAGUACAGUAGAGGUGGGCGGAAUUCGUGGUGUAGCGGUGAAAUGCUUAGAUAUCACGAAGAACUCCGAUUGCGAAGGCAGCUCACUGGACUGCAACUGACACUGAGGCUCGAAAGUGUGGGUAUCAAACAGGAUUAGAUACCCCAGUAGUC